GGGCGUAUGGUCUAGAGGUAUGAUACCUGCUUUGGGUGAUAGUAUCCUUUAUGCAGGGGGUCUUCGGUUCGAAUCCGGAUUCGCCCC
rnacentral:tRNA from 1 species